CCUCAGCCUCCGUCCCCAGCCCUCAGCCUCCGUCCCCAGCCCUCAGCCUCCCUCCUCCGCCCCGCUUCCCUCACCGGGAGCCCCGGCCCCGCCAAAGCUCAGCCCCGGCCGUGCGGAAGUCUUCUUUGGAGGCAGCUCUGCUGUAAGUGCCUCGCCAAGUCGGAGAUGUGGAUUUGUUGGCCAGAAGAGAUGAAGAAGGAAAUAUUCUUUCUUUGGUAGUGAACCCAUCCUGUGAUCCGGUGGAGUUUGAGGCCAGAAGAUGGAACUCCCUGGCUGCCACCCACCUGCAGCAGCAGCUACAGCUGGGAUCAGCUGUUCUAUAAAUGUGUAUUAUACUGGAAAUUGAACACUGACAGCGUAGGAGAGGCAUGUGAAGAGGAGGAGGAGGAAGAAUUGUUCCAGCAGUGGUGGAUGUGUGUUUGGAUGGUGCAGGUGCCCACUUCAUUCACUGCAUCCCUUCAGCACCAAGAGUUCAACCCAGUGCUGGCUAAUUCCAGGACCUGAAACUGUAUCUACAUGCAAAUCUCAUCCUUUGGAAUCAACUUUCCUUUGGGUCCUGAAGCACUGUGGAAAUGGCAGUGGAUAUUACAUGGGAUGGCCCUCACAUGCUCAGCUCCAUUAGCUUGGACAAUUCAAGGGGAUCUCAGCUGGGUUUCCUGGCCACAGGUUACACAGGUGACAAGAUUGAAACAGACAGAAAAGAAAAAUUUUUCCAAUGUCUCCUGGAAGGCAAAUGGUGCUGCUGGAGGAAAAAACAAUCGGUUCAGAAGUCUGGGCCAGUUCUCUGUUCAAGUUUCUACUGCCUUCUUCUUUGUUUCCAGCUGUUCUAUUUCCCAAGAAAACAAACAUCUCCACUACAACUUCCAAAUAGAAUGUGUGCUGUAUAUUAUCCUGAGACCUGUUCUCUACAGAAAAUUUGGUUUUUAACAUUCUGGUGCAAUAAACGGCAAUAAAACAGGGAAGCAGCACAGUCUCCUGAGAUCUGGUUUCCAGACAAAGGGAGUUCAGACAGAAAUUGGAGCUUCUGGUUGCGUUUUGAACUCUGCCUGCCCCCGGUGUUCUCUCCCCUUGAAUUGGCAACAGGAAUUGCAUCUCACUCAUCUGGCUGAACAGUGGCUGCAGUUGCCUUUGACUCGUGUGACUUUAAACAGGACAUUUCUAGAAGACUUGAACAAAUAAACUGGACUCUAUGAAACCAUCAGAUUUAACUGUCCCUGUGGUACACACUCCUGAAAACUUGCUAAUUCAUUACGUAACAAAGCAAUUCUCAUGCUGACUGAAAAAAAGAAAAAGCUAGAAUUAUUUUCAAUGACAUAUUCUUUAUUUUUAUUCGUUAUUAUUUAAAAAGUUAUAUAUUUCAUAUUAAGAGCUACUCAUCCUAUGGUAAAAUGUCUUUCAUCUCCUGUAUAAACUUUCUAAAAAUUUGAAGUUCUAUUCAAAGAUUUGGGAGUCCUAAGAGCAGCCUCUGCUGAUGCAUAAGGAAAUUGUUUCUCAAUUUUUCCAGUGGAUGCAAGAGUUUUUUUGCAUAUCCACAAGAAGUUUGUAAGAACUGUUCGGUGUUUGUAUGUCACUUGGAAAAUAUA